rnacentral:rRNA from 1 species
UACGGGGGGAGCAAGCGUUGUUCGGAUUUACUGGGCGUAAAGGGCGCGUAGGCGGCCACCGCAAGUCAGUUGUGAAAUCUCUGGGCUUAACCCAGAAAGGUCAACUGAUACUGCGGGGCUAGAGUGCAGAAGGGGCAACUGGAAUUCCUGGUGUAGCAGUGAGAUGCGUAGAUAUCAGGAGGAACACCGAUGGCGAAGGCAGGUCUCUGGGCUGACACUGACGCUCAUGCACGAAAGCGUGGGGAGCAAACAGG